rnacentral:rRNA from 1 species
AUUGAACGCUGGCGGCAUGCUUUACACAUGCAAGUCGAACGGUAACAGGUUAAGCUGACGAGUGGCGAACGGGUGAGUAAUGCAUCGGAACGUGCCCGAUCGUGGGGGAUAACGCAGCGAAAGCUGCGCUAAUACCGCAUACGAUCUGAGGAUGAAAGCGGGGGACCGUAAGGCCUCGCGCGAUCGGAGCGGCCGAUGUCAGAUUAGGUAGUUGGUGGGGUAAAGGCUCACCAAGCCGACGAUCUGUAGCUGGUCUGAGAGGACGACCAGCCACACUGGGACUGAGACACGGCCCAGACUCCUACGGGAGGCAGCAGUGGGGUAUUUUGGACAAUGGGCGAAAGCCUGAUCCAGCAAUGCCGCGUGCAGGAAGAAGGCCUUCGGGUUGUAAACUGCUUUUGUACGGAGCGAAAAGGCUCUCUCUAAUACAGGGGGCUCAUGACGGUACCGUAAGAAUAAGCACCGGCUAACUACGUGCCAGCCGCCGCGGUAA